rnacentral:lncRNA from 1 species
AUAACAAAAUGUGGCCCUGGCAUCAUGUAGGUCGGGUCAUGGCUCUGUCGAUUCUGGGUUGACUUGGAGACCAGCUUGGGUUGGGUACCAGCCUAUCUAUCGGGCUGGAGUGGAUUGGUUGGGUGCCAGCCUAAAGAGUCUGCGGUUGAACUGCUCUUAGUACAUGCAAACUGAGUCAUGAGGGUCAUUUACUUGAAAACCCAACAUAAUAUAGAUCAUUGUGAGUGCUCUACAGGGAGCAUCAUAUUCAGCGUGAAGGGAAAUAAUGAGAUUUAUGUGGGAUUUCUAGUGACUAGCAUGCAUAUACAAUUCAUAAUUUAUAUACAUUAGCAACAGAAGCAUGUUAUCACAUAAUAUCAAAGCUAUAGUCAUGCAAAUCCCCUUCAAGAAGCAUAGGUUCAUAUAUGAUGCAUCUUAGAAAUUAUUGAAGAACAAAGUGAAGGUAUAGUUUUAUACCUCUUGAUCUAG